GACGAACGCUGGCGGCGUGCUUAACACAUGCAAGUCGAACGGAAAGGCCCUGCUUUUGUGGGGUGCUCGAGUGGCGAACGGGUGAGUAACACGUGAGUAACCUGCCCUUGACUUUGGGAUAACUUCAGGAAACUGGGGCUAAUACCGGAUAGGAGCUCCUGCUGCAUGGUGGGGGUUGGAAAGUUUCGGCGGUUGGGGAUGGACUCGCGGCUUAUCAGCGUGUUGGUGGGGUAGUGGCUUAACAAGGCAUUGACGGGUAGCCGGCCUGAGAGGGUGACCGGCCACAUUGGGACUGAGAUACGGCCCAGACUCCUACGGGAGGCAGCAGUGGGGAAUAGUGCACAAUGGGCGGAAGCCUGAUGCAGCAACGCCGCGUGCGGGAUGACGGCCUUCGGGUUGUAAACCUCUUUCGCCUGUGACGAAGCGUGAGUGACGGUAAUGGGUAAAGAAGCACCGGCUAACUACGUG
rnacentral:rRNA from 1 species